UGGGAAGGAAGGAACACAGUUGCAAGCAGCACAGUGUAUAUUAGCACUUACGAUGAAGACGUGAUUCCAUACUUCGCUGCUGAAUGUCAAAUCCCAUUGUGUUUGGCUCUCAAGAAUGCGGGUAGUUAAACUAAUGCAAGAAAAAAACAUGGCGUGUGUGCUACUGACUCUACAGGAUAAGGCUAUUUCCUGGGAUCGGCUAUCACAUUCACCAGCCUCUACAACGGUGGCCUUGGCCUCUGGACUCUGUAACCUCGACCUCGGUCCAUUUGGAUGCC